CGAGCCGGGCGGACGGUCGCGUGAGGGCCCCUUUCACGAGGGAUUCUCCCGAGGAACGUCCGGGCUCCACAGGGCAAGGUGGUGGCUAACGGCCACCCGGGGUGACCCGCGGGACAGUGCCACAGAAAACAGACCGCCGGGGACCGUGAGGCCCUCGGUAAGGGUGAAACGGUGGUGUAAGAGACCACCAGCGCCUGAGGUGACUCAGGCGGCUAGGUAAACCCCACCUGGAGCAAGGUCAAAAGGAAGCGCCGCUUUGUAAAAGGCAGCGGUUCUGCGCGGACGUUCGAGGGCUGCCCGCCCGAGUCCGCGGGUAGACCGCACGAGGCCGGCGGCAACGCCGGCCCUAGAUGGAUGGCCGUCUCCCCGGCCGCCGCGAGGCGACCGGGCGACAGAACCCGGCGUACAGCCCGACUCGUCUG
rnacentral:RNase_P_RNA from 1 species